rnacentral:lncRNA from 1 species
AAGUUAAAAUUUUUAGAGAAAGCUUUAAAUAUCAUUUCUGUAGUUUCGCACUUUCUCACUUUAGUACCCAGCAAUUUAAAGUGUAUUAAUUUAGCAUUCUAUGAUUUUAUUUUUAUCUUUUUAUUAUCGAUUCUACUAAUUUUUUUCGUUAAAUCAGUGACAAAGUUAAAACUAAAGGGUACUAAAGUGAAUAUUCGAUAUAUAUCUGAAGUUUUUUAUAUAUAAUUUAACGAAAUAUUAACGAAAAAGCUGACGAAAAGAUAAAAAUGAAACCACAUGAUACUAGCUUGAUACAAUUGAAGCCACAAGGUACUAAACUGAGAACGUGCGAAAUCACAGGAGUGGUAUUUGAAGUUUAUCCUAAAAUUUUAAUUUGGAGUGCAUAGGAUAUAUCACAAACUAAUUAUAUAUCCCUGAAGGACCUAAAUAGGAGUAAUCAGGAGUAAUAUAGAAUACUAAAAGACCUAAUCAGGAGUAAUAUAAUAAUUUUAUAUUAAAAUAAUACUUUGUAAGAAAAAAUAUUUAUUCUGGUACUUACGUAUAGGGACGGCAAUCCAGCUAGUUGUUUCCGAUUCAGCUCAUGUUCGGCUCAAAAUAAGCUCGACAUCGAAUCACUCGUUUAGUAAACGAGCUGAAGUACGAGCUGAAAUUUUCAGUUUGUUUAAUAAACAAGCUGAACACGAGUUUGGGUCAGCUCACUGGCGUUCUCGAAUACAUAUAUUUUAUAUUUAUAUAUAUAAAUAAAUAAUUAUAUAUGUAUAUAAUAUAAACUUUUAUUAUUUGAUUUUUAGCCCAACUUAAAUAUAAAAUCAACUUAAUUAUAAAAUGGUUCAUUUAUAUAUAAAAUUUCAACAGUAUAACGGGUAAAAUUUUAUAAAUUUAUUUUCUAUAUAUAUUCUUUCAAAUUUUUUUAAAUUCUUAUUUAUAAGCUAGCUCGUACUCGGCUCGACAAUUUAACAACUUAGCUCGUGUUCGGCUCGUUUAUAUCCUACAACGUGAAGAUAUUUAUUUAAAUAUUAUUUUUUUUAUGUAAAAUUAGUGUGAUAAAAAAGAGUUUGUCGCCUAGUAUAGUAGGAAAGUGAAGUUGAAAAGACA